rnacentral:misc_RNA from 1 species
GAAAUGCGAUAAGUAGUGUGAAUUGCAGAAUUUAGCGAAUCAUCGAAUCUUUGAACGCACAUUGCGCCCCUUGGUAUUCCAUGGGGCAUGCCUGUUCGAGCGUCAUUUCAACCCUCAAGCACUGCUUGGUGUUGGGCGUUUGUCCCGCCUACGCGCGUGGACUCGCCUCAAAGUCAUUGGCAGCUGUUCCCCUUCGGCUCGUAAGCGCAGCACAGUCGGCGCCCGGAGCUCUGGUGGGAUGGCGUCCAGCAAGCUAUAUUUUCAGGCUUGACCUCAGAUCAGGUAGGGAUACCCGCUGAACUUAAGC